rnacentral:snRNA from 1 species
GUGCUUGUUUUGGCAGCACACAUACUAACAGGAGAAGAUCUGCAUGGCCCCUGUGCAAGGAUAAUGUGCAAAUUCACAAAACAUUCCAUAUUUUU